UGCUUAACACAUGCAAGUCUUUGGCGAAGCUGUGCUUGCACAGCCUAGCCAAGGCGGACGGGUGAGUAACGCGUAAGGAACUUGCCCUGCAGUCAGGGAUAACAGACGGAAACGACUGAUAAGACCUGGUAAAGUCAGGCGGACUCAUGUCCAGCCUGAUGAAAAGAGAUGCUGCAGGAGAGCCUUGCGUCCUAUUAGCUUGUUGGUGGGGUAACGGCCCACCAAGGCGAUGAUAGGUAGCCGGCCUGAGAGGGUGGACGGCCACAAGGGGACUGAGAUACGGCCCUUACUCCUACGGGAGGCAGCAGUGGGGAAUAUUGGACAAUGGGGGCAACCCUGAUCCAGCAAUUCUGUGUGCACGAUGAAGGUUUUCGGAUUGUAAAGUGCUUUCAGCAGGGAAGAAAAAAAUGACGGUACCUGCAGAAGAAGCGACGGCUAAAUACGUGCCAGCAGCCGCGGUAAUACGUAUGUCGCAAGCGUUAUCCGGAAUUAUUGGGCAUAAAGGGCAUCUAGGCGGCCAGAUAAGUCUGGGGUGAAAACUUGCGGCUCAACCGCAAGCCUGCCCUGGAAACUAUGUGGCUAGAGUACUGGAGAGGUGGACGGAACUGCACGAGUAGAGGUGAAAUUCGUAGAUAUGUGCAGGAAUGCCGAUGAUGAAGAUAGUU
rnacentral:rRNA from 1 species